rnacentral:rRNA from 1 species
AAUAGAUACCCUGGUAGUCCACGCCGUAAACGAUGGAUACUAGCUGUUGGGGGCAACUUCAGUGGCUAAGCGAAAGUGAUAAGUAUCCCACCUGGGAAGUACGAACGCAAGUUUGAAACUCAAAGGAAUUGACGGGGGCCCGCACAAGCGGUGGAGCAUGUGGUUUAAUUCGAUGAUACGCGAGGAACCUUACCAAGGCUUAAAUGCAGACUGACCGAUUUGGAAACAGAUCUUUCGCAAGACAGUUUACAAGGUGCUGCAUGGUUGUCGUCAGCUCGUGCCGUGAGGUGUCAGGUUAAGUCCUAUAACGAGCGCAACCCCUGUUGUUAGUUGCCAGCGAGUGAUGUCGGGAACUCUAACAAGACUGCCAGUGCAAACUGUGAGGAAGGUGGGGAUGACGUCAAAUCAUCACGGCCCUUACGCCUUGGGCUACACACGUGCUACAAUGGCCGGUACAGAGAGCAGCCACUGGGCGACCAGGAGCGAAUCUAUAAAGCCGGUCACAGUUCGGAUCGGAGUCUGCAACG